rnacentral:rRNA from 1 species
CAAAGGUGAGCCAGUACAGGAUGGACCCGCGUCUGAUUAGCUAGUUGGUAAGGUAACGGCUUACCAAGGCGACGAUCAGUAGCCGACCUGAGAGGGUGAUCGGCCACAUUGGAACUGAGACACGGUCCAAACUCCUACGGGAGGCAGCAGUGGGGAAUAUUGCACAAUGGGCGAAAGCCUGAUGCAGCAACGCCGCGUGAGUGAUGAAGGCCUUCGGGUCGUAAAACUCUGUCCUCAAGGAAGAUAAUGACGGUACUUGAGGAGGAAGCCCCGGCUAACUACGUGCCAGCAGCCGCGGUAAUACGUAGGGGGCUAGCGUUAUCCGGAUUUACUGGGCGUAAAGGGUGCGUAGGCGGUCUUUCAAGUCAGGAGUGAAAGGCUACGGCUCAACCGUAGUAAGCUCUUGAAACUGGGAGACUUGAGUGCAGGAGAGGAGAGUGGAAUUCCUAGUGUAGCGGUGAAAUGCGUAGAUAUUAGGAGGAACACCAGUUGCGAAGGCGGCUCUCUGGACUGUAACUGACGCUGAGGCACGAAAGCGUGGGGAGCAAACAGGAUUAGGUACCCUGGUAGUCCACGCUGUAAACGAUGAGUACUAGGUGUCGGG